rnacentral:rRNA from 1 species
CUGCCCGGUGAAGAUUUUUAACGGCCGCGGUACUCUGACCGUGCAAAGGUAGCAUAAUCAUUUGCCUUAUAAUUGAAGGCUAGUAUGAAUGGUUUGACAAGAAUACGGCUGUCUCUUUAUGAUUUGAUAGAAUUUUAUUUUUAGGUGAAAAAGCCUUAAUUUGAUUAAUAGACAAGAAGACCCUAUCGAGCUUUAGGGAAUUCAGUGGGUUGGAGGCUUAAUUGGUGAAGAAAGAAAUCUACUGAACAUUUUGGUUGGGGCGACUGAGGAACAUAAGAAGCUUCCUUUAAUGUGUUGACACAUACAGGUAUUGAUCCAAAAAUGUUGAUUAAAGAAAUUAGUUACCGUAGGGAUAACAGCAUAAUCUUUUUUGAGAGUUCUUAUCGAAAAAAAGGUUUGUGACCUCGAUGUUGGACCAGAAUGUCCUAAAGAUGCAGAAGUCUUUAAGGGUUGGUCUGUUCGACCAUUAAAAUUCUA